UACAGAGGUCUCAAGCGUUGUUCGGAUUCAUUGGGCGUAAAGGGUGCGUAGGUGGCGGGGCAAGUCGGAUGUGAAAUCUCAGGGCUCAACCCUGAAACUGCAUUCGAUACUGCUUUGCUCGAGGACUGGAGAGGAGAUUGGAAUUCACGGUGUAGCAGUGAAAUGCGUAGAUAUCGUGAGGAAGACCAGUGGCGAAGGCGGAUCUCUGGACAGUUCCUGACACUGAGGCACGAAGGCCAGGGGAGCAAACGGG
rnacentral:rRNA from 1 species